UCUUGCACACAGCAGUGCCAAAGACUGAUGGAUCAAAUCCUAUCUCGCCAAAUCCAGCCACUGGAGCUUCAAGGAGGACAUGACAGAAUGGCAGCAGUCCUUCCUCCAGCAAACAAAAUAAAUAGUCAGAUCUAAUAGACACCAUCGGUAAUUAGAUUUUGCACACUAAGAUAUACUGUAUGUGUGUAUCAGGCCAAAGCAGCACAGUUUCCACUUCAAAACACUGAAAAUCAGAUUUUUCUUAACUGAAAGCUGUGUUCAAAGUAUCCAUGUGCGAAUUUUUACUUUACUAAAGCCUUUCGAACUGUGGCAUAUGAAAUGAUUUAGAAGCCAAAUCUCACAGAGCCAUUCAGGCUAUAUUCUCUGUGCCAGUAACUCUUUAGUCUUUCAAGGCUGUGAAUUCCCAGCUUGUGAAGUUAAUUCCAGUGAGUUCUCAUUCUGAAGUUUCUCUUAGCCCCGAACUGCCAGUUAACAAGCUCACAGCCAGGGUUUGUAAGAGGAUGAGACCUGCUGCAGCUGGAGCUUUCAACAAGACUUUGCAGUCAUGCAACUGCGAAAUUUCAUAGAGCUGCUGCAAUAGGCACAGUGUAACUCACUUGGCAAUAUAUGAUCUUCAGUUUCCAUAAUUUAAUUUUGAAAACAAGACCCAAAGUGCAUAUACCUAGCUAGUCUCUCUUCUGGAACAUCGUAAUAUGCUGACGUGUCAGCAAGUCUAUCAGUGGAGAGAGGUUAAUGCCCCAGCAGAAAAGAUGCUAAUACCAAAAUAACAAUGAUCCGCAGAACUCUGAAGAGCAUCACAGAGCAGGUUGGAAAGAUGUCAUGCAAGGUCAGCCUGGACAUUGAAGGAAACUGCAAUGCCAUUCACAAAGAGCUUCAGACCAUCCUGAGGACAGGCCAUUGAGGUUCUCUGAAACACAGCGGAGAAAUGUCACUGAGAUUCUUCAGAACAUAAAGCAGUGAACAAUACUCAAUUUGCAAUGCCUGAAGGCAAUAUCUUCUGUGGUCUGAUGGAUACAUCACUACCCAUAAGUCAGAAGAAGGUGGUUUUAUCACAACUUUGCCAGGAGACUACRUCAGCUCGGGGUCAUGCCACAUCUAUACUCUGAGGUAUGUGACAACUAUACUCUGACUCCUCCUUACUCUGAAUAUAUACACCACAUAGCACUGGUUUCCCAGUACUGGGGGUGCUUCUGGGUCCCACUGUAACAUAUUAGUAAUAAAUCCUCAGAGCACAUUCA
rnacentral:lncRNA from 1 species